rnacentral:sRNA from 1 species
ACUGGGUACAAUGGCACAUGCCUGUAAUCCCAGCAGCUUGGGAGGCUGAGGCAGGAGGAUUGCAAGUUUAAAGCCAGCCUCAGCAAAAAGCAAGGCUUUAAGCAACUCAGUGAGACCCUGUCUCUA